ensembl:snRNA U2 U2 spliceosomal RNA
AUAACUUCUUGACCUUUUGGCUAAGAUUAAAAUGUGGUGUUCUUAUCAGUUUAGUAUCUGAUGCAUCCUCUGUCCAAGGACAAUAUACUAAACGGGCGUUAGAAGCUGGGAGAUGGAAUAGGAGCUUGCUCCAUGUACUCUGAACAUCGAACUGGAGUUGCAGCGCUGGUAAAAGUGUAACCCAA